GAUGAACGCUGACAGAAUGCUUAACACAUGCAAGUCAACUUGAAUUUGGGUUUUUAACUUAGGUUUGGGUGGCGGACGGGUGAGUAACGCGUAAAGAACUUGCCUCACAGCUAGGGACAACAUUUGGAAACGAAUGCUAAUACCUAAUAUUAUGAUAAUAGGGCAUCCUAUAAUUAUGAAAGCUAUAAGCGCUGUGAGAGAGCUUUGCAUCCCAUUAGCUAGUUGGAGAGGUAACGGCUCACCAAGGCGAUGAUGGGUAGCCGGCCUGAGAGGGUGAUCGGCCACAAGGGGACUGAGACACGGCCCUUACUCCUACGGGAGGCAGCAGUGGGGAAUAUUGGACAAUGGACCAAGAGUCUGAUCCAGCAAUUCUGUGUGCACGAUGAAGUUUUUCGGAAUGUAAAGUGCUUUCAGUUGGGAAGAAAAAAAUGACGGUACCAACAGAAGAAGUGACGGCUAAAUACGUGCCAGCAGCCGCGGUAAUACGUAUGUCACGAGCGUUAUCCGGAUUUAUUGGGCGUAAAGCGCGUCUAGGUGGUUAUAUAAGUCUGAUGUGAAAAUGCAGGGCUCAACUCUGUAUUGCGUUGGAAACUGUAUAACUAGAGUACUGGAGAGGUAAGCGGAACUACAAGUGUAGAGGUGAAAUUCGUAGAUAUUUGUAGGAAUGCCGAUGGGGAAGCCAGCUUACUGGACAGAUACUGACGCUGAAGCGCGAAAGCGUGGGUAGCAAACAGG
rnacentral:rRNA from 1 species